AUUGAACGCUGGCGGCAGGCCUAACACAUGCAAGUCGAGCGAGCGGCGGACGGGUGAGUAAUGUCUGGGAAACUGACUGAUGGAGGGGGAUAACUACUGGAAACGGUAGCUAAUACCCCAUACCAUCAGAUGUGCCCAGAUGGGAUUAGCUAGUAGGUGGGGUAAUGGCUCACCUAGGCGACGAUGCCUAGCUGGUCUGAGAGGAUGAACAGCCACACUGGAACUGAGAAACGGUCCAGACUCCUACGGGAGGCAGCAGUGGGGAAUAUUGCGCAAUGGGCGCAAGCCUGAUGCAGCCAUGCCGCGUGUGUGAUGAAGGCCUUCGGGUUGUAAAGCUCUUUCAGUGGGGAGGCGUUACCCGCAGAGGAAGCAACGGCUAACUCCGUGCCAGCAGCCGCGGUAAUUC
rnacentral:rRNA from 1 species